GCAGACAACAGUGCAUUAUUGUGACAUAAAAUACGUAGAUUUUUGUGGUUGUCAAAAGACAAAAUUUCAUCAACAAAAUUGAAAACUGUUUUCAAGCUUCUGAAUAUGUCAAAUAGUUAUUAGCUGAAUUAAUCAGAAUAAAAAAUUGGCCACCUUCCCAUCAAAACCACUCCAAGUACUUAGAAUGCCAAGAUUCCUUGUCUCAAUUAUCAGCUGCUGCUGCACUUCCUGUUCAAAGGAAUCCACAGAAGAGUCACAGGAAUGACAACACCACAUGCCUUCCACUGGAAGAGGCUGUCGGGUGUUUUCCAUUGUGUACAGGGCAGCA